AACGAACGCUGGCGGCAUGCCUAACACAUGCAAGUCGAACGAACCCUUCGGGGUUAGUGGCGCACGGGUGCGUAACGCGUGGGAAUCUGCCCUUUGCUUCGGAAUAACUCAGGGAAACUUGUGCUAAUACCGGAUGAUGUCUUCGGACCAAAGAUUUAUCGGCAUGGGAUGAGCCCGCGUAGGAUUAGGUAGUUGGUGGGGUAAAGGCCUACCAAGCCGACGAUCCUUAGCUGGUCUGAGAGGAUGAUCAGCCACACUGGGACUGAGACACGGCCCAGACUCCUACGGGAGGCAGCAGUGGGGAAUAUUGGACACUGGGCGCAAGCCUGAUCCAGCAAUGCCGCGUGAGUGAUGAAGGCCCUCGGGUCGUAAAGCUCUUUUACCAGGGAUGAUAAUGACAGUACCUGGAGAAUAAGCUCCGGCUAACUCCGUG
rnacentral:rRNA from 1 species